rnacentral:rRNA from 1 species
AUUGAACGCUGGCGGCAGGCCUAACACAUGCAAGUCGAGCGAGCGGCGGACGGGUGAGUAAUGUAUGGGGAACUGCCUGAUGGAGGGGGAUAACUACUGGAAACGGUAGCUAAUACCGCAUACCAUCGGAUGUGCCCAUAUGGGAUUAGCUAGUAGGUGGGGUAACGGCUCACCUAGGCGACGAUCCCUAGCUGGUCUGAGAGGAUGACCAGCCACACUGGAACUGAGACACGGCCCAGACUCCUACGGGAGGCAGCAGUGGGGAAUAUUGCACAAGGGGCGCAAGCCUGAUGCAGCCAUGCCGCGUGUGUGAAGAAGGCCCUAGGGUUGUAAAGUACUUUCAGUGGGGAGGCGUUACCGACAGAAGAAGCACCGGCUAACUCCGUGCCAGCAGCCGCGGUAAUAC